rnacentral:rRNA from 1 species
UGGGACCCUAGUGGCGGACGGGUGAGUAACGCGUGGGUAACCUGCCCCAUACCGGGGGAUAACACUUAGAAAUAGGUGCUAAUACCGCAUAAGCGCACGGUACUGCAUGGUACAGUGUGAAAAACUCCGGUGGUAUGGGAUGGACCCGCGUCUGAUUAGCUUGUUGGCGGGGUAACGGCCCACCAAGGCGACGAUCAGUAGCCGGCCUGAGAGGGUGACGGCCACAUUGGGACUGAGACACGGCCCAAACUCCUACGGAAGGCAGCAG